AUUGAACGCUGGCGGCAUGCUUUACACAUGCAAGUCGAACGGUAACAGGUCUUCGGAUGCUGACGAGUGGCGAACGGGUGAGUAAUGUAUCGGAACGUGCCCAGUAGUGGGGGAUAACUACUCGAAAGAGUGGCUAAUACCGCAUGAGAACUGAGGUUGAAAGCGGGGGACCUUCGGGCCUCGCGCUACUGGAGCGGCCGAUAUCAGAUUAGGUAGUUGGUGGGGUAAAGGCCUACCAAGCCGACGAUCUGUAGCUGGUCCGAGAGGACGACCAGCCACACUGGGACUGAGACACGGCCCAGACUCCUACGGGAGGCAGCAGUGGGGAAUUUUGGACAAUGGACGCAAGUCUGAUCCAGCAAUGCCGCGUGCAGGACGAAGGCCUUUGGGUUGUAAACUGCUUUUGUACGGAGCGAAAAGGCUUCUCCUAAUACGAGGGGCUCAUGACGGUACCGUAAGAAUAAGCACCGGCUAACUACGUGCCAGCAGCC
rnacentral:rRNA from 1 species